UACGGAGGAUCCAAGCGUUAUCCGGAAUCAUUGGGUUUAAAGGGUCCGUAGGCGGUUUGGUAAGUCAGUGGUGAAAGCCCAUCGCUCAACGGUGGAACGGCCAUUGAUACUGCCAGACUUGAAUUAUUAGGAAGUAACUAGAAUAUUGUAGUGUAGCGGUUGAAAAUGCUUAGAGAUUUACAAUGGAAUACCAAUUGCGAAGGCAAGGUUACUACUAAUGGAUUGACGCUGAUGGACGAAAGCGUGGGUAGCGAACAGGAU
rnacentral:rRNA from 1 species